GACGAACGCUGGCGGCGUGCUUAACACAUGCAAGUCGAGCGGGAAACUUCGGUUUCCAGCGGCGGACGGGUGAGUAACACGUGGGCAACCUGCCUCACAAUGAGGGAUAGCCCUCCGAAAGGAGGAUUAAUACCUCAUAACACAAGAGAAACGCAUGUUUCUCUUGCCAAAGAAUUUCGUUGUGAGAUGGGCCCGCGGCGCAUUAGCUUGUUGGUGAGGUAACGGCUCACCAAGGCUUCGAUGCGUAGCCGACCUGAGAGGGUGAUCGGCCACAUUGGAACUGAGACACGGUCCAGACUCCUACGGGAGGCAGCAGUGGGGAAUAUUGCACAAUGGAGGAAACUCUGAUGCAGCAACGCCGCGUGAGUGAUGAAGGUCUUCGGAUUGUAAAGCUCUGUCUUCUGGGACGAUAAUGACGGUACCAGAGGAGGAAGCCACGGCUAACUACGUGCCAGCAGCAGCCGCGG
rnacentral:rRNA from 1 species